CCUUUGUACACACCGCCCGUCGCUACUACCGAUUGAAUGGCUUAGUGAGGCCUUCGGAUUGGCUACCGGGACCCGGCAACGGGACCUGGCUGCCGAGAAGUUGUACGAACUUGGUCAUUUAGAGG
rnacentral:rRNA from 1 species